CUUUCUCCUAAAGGAAGAAUAAAAUCCAUGUCAUUUAACUUCCUUCAGAACUACCGCGUUUCACCUGCCGUUGGUGUCGUUACAUCAGAUUUGCUCUGGAUUCUUUUCACGAAACACGCCAAGGACUCCACAACAUCCAGAGGAUGAAGUUCUGGCUCUCUUGGUGGGGAAUAUUUUGUUUCACGUUCCAUUAUACUGCAAGUGCUGAAAAAUGUGCUAAAGAUUACUGUGACGAAAAUGCAUGUAACACGACUGCUUCAGGAAAGUUGCAUUAUGUUGCUUAAAUAAAUUUGAAUAUGUUUUAUCCAAAAAAGUAAUAUGUGAUCAUUUACUCUGCAGAAUUUAGCAGGAAUAAAUGCUGCUUGGAAUAUGUAAGUAAAUGUCUGGGGAAUGGAAAAAAAAAUGAAAAUGGAAAAAAAAAUGAAAAUGGAAAAAAAAAUGAAAAUGGAAA